UCAGGAUGAUGUGACAUGUGGUCAGGUUGAUGUGGUCAGGGUGAUGUGGUCAGGGUGAUGUGGUCAGGGUGAUGUGGUCAGGUUGAUGUGGUCAGGUUGAUGUGGUCAGGAUGAUGUGGUCAGGUUG